UACGAAGGGUGCAAGCGUUACUCGGAAUUACUGGGCGUAAAGCGUGCGUAGGUGGUUCGUUAAGUCUGUCGUGAAAGCCCCGGGCUCAACCUGGGAAUGGCGAUGGAUACUGGCGGGCUAGAGUGCGGUAGAGGAGAGUGGAAUUCCCGGUAGUAGCAGUGAAAUGCGUAGAGAUCGGGGAGGAACAUCAGUUGCGAAGGCGGCUCGUCUGGAGCCAGCACUGACACUGAGGCACGAAAAGCGUGGGGAGCAAACAG
rnacentral:rRNA from 1 species